rnacentral:rRNA from 1 species
GUGUCAGCCGCCGCGGUAAUACAGAGGGUGCGAGCGUUAAUCGGAAUUACUGGGCGUAAAGCGCGCGUAGACGGUUUGGUAAGUCAGAUGUGAAAUCCCCGGGCUCAACCUGGGAACUGCAUUUGAUACUGCCUGGCUAGAGUAUCGAAGAGGGAAGUGGAAUUUCCGGUGUAGCGGUGAAAUGCGUAGAUAUCGGAAGGAACACCAGUGGCGAAAGCGACUUCCUGGUCGAAUACUGACGUUCAUGUGCGAAAGCGUGGGGAGCAAACAGGAUUAGAUACCCUCGUAGUCC